rnacentral:lncRNA from 1 species
GGACAAAUUUCCCCUUUUUAUAAGGAUACCAGGCAUAUUGGAUUAGGGUUCCUCUCUACUCCAGUAGGACCUCAUCUUCACUAAUUACAUCUGCAAUAACCCUUUCCAAAUAAGGUCACAUUCUGAGGAACUAGAGCAAUCUGAAGAGGAUGUAAGUCAGUUUGAUUCCAAGUUUACACGUCAGACACCUGUCGACAGCCCAGAUGACACAACUCUCAGUGAAAGUGCCAAUCAGGUGUUUUUGAUGCCACUGCGAGAACGGGAACAAUGGAACAGGCCCUCACCAAAUGCCAAAUGUGCUAUCACCUUGAUUUUGGAUUUCCCAGCCUCCGGAACUGUGAGGAAUAAAUUUUUUUACUUAUAAAUUAC